CUCCCCACACCUGACUGAGAGAGCUGACGGAUUACCUGUGGUCAUUUUCAACAGAGGCAACUUAAAUUUUCUAUUAAAAAUUUGAAUGGUACUCCCACAAUUCAAUAAUAACUGAAAACUUUGCCCCUCACUUUCACUUUCACAAAUUUUGUCUGGAAGGUGCAUAAGAAGGAAGGAAUAAAUGGCUAUCAUAUUAUUUACUGCUGUUGGACUCUCCAGCUUUUUAUAAGCUGAACCAUACUUGCAAGAUUCGAAUAUUUUCUUUAGAAAAUCAAAAUCGUUUAUCCAUUGGGGGAAAAAACACUUAUGAAGUCUUGAAUGAAGGCAAACAAUAUCACAGACUACUGAUGCAAAUCUGUUUUUAUUAAAAUUCUG